rnacentral:rRNA from 1 species
GAUGAACGCUGGCGGCGUGCCUAAUACAUGCAAGUCGAGCGGUAAGGCCCCCUCGGGGGUACACGAGCGACGGACGGCUGAGUAACACGUAGGAACGUACCCCAAACUGAGGGAUAACUGCUCGAAAGAGUAGCUAAUACCGCAUGUGCUCUAAGGAGUAAAGCUACGGCGGUUUGGGAACGGCCUGCGUCCGAUUAGCUAGUUGGUGAGGUAAUUGCUCACCAAGGCGACGAUCGGUAGCUGGUCUGAGAGGAUGAUCAGCCAGACUGGGACUGAGACACGGCCCAGACUCCUACGGGAGGCAGCAGUAGGGAAUUUUCCACAAUGGGGGCAACCCUGAUGGAGCAACGCCGCGUGCAGGAUGAAUGCUUUCGAGUUGUAAACUGCUUUUAUCUGUGACGAAUAUGACGGUAGCAGAUGAAUAAGGAUCGGCUAACUCCGUGCCAGCAGCCGCCGUAA